CCUGCCAAGCCUCUUUGAAAAUGCUCAAAUAGGCGGGA
rnacentral:sRNA from 1 species